UGAAAAUGUGACCACAUGGUCCAUCCUGGCAGCAUGGGCCAAGCAAGCAAAACAAGACUAAAAGGGAAUUUAUUAUUUUUUUUUUCUUAUCUUCCUAAGAGACAGUAACCAGGCUUCCGUGUUUAGCCCAUGGUGACAUGUCUUAAAUGCUUCUCCUGGGCACUCUGCAUUGCCUAGCAUCCUCACGCUCUGUUCUCUGAAGCUGUCUCUGCUUCAAUGUCUGUAAAUCUUAACGAUGACUGGCCCCGUUUGAGUCACACGGGUAUGGAUCGGGCAUUGGCUGAGGUCAGAGAUGUGAUGUUUCGGGCUCUGCGUGAGUCAUAUGAUCAUCCGGGGACAGAAGGGUUGUGCCGUGUGUUGUUAUCACUGCAGCACCAGAUGUGUUGGAAGGGAAACAGGACUGCAGGAGACUUUCUGAAUGGGCAGGAGCGUGCGUGUACGUGUGUGUGCUGUUAUUGCGGGGACCAGCAAUACUGGGGAGAUGGAAACUUACAGGAGCCUCUCAAGGACAAGAAGAAGUCAGACAGCUCUGGUGUGAUUAGAAGGAAGCGCUGGUGGCUGCCCAGGAGUUCAAAAGAACAGGCGAUCCCGAAUGGGUGUCAUCUUUAAAUCUAGUUUCUCCAUCACCUCAGACUUUGUUUCAUUUGGUCUGGUGGAAUUUAGGUUGGGUUUCUAGGAAUGGGUGAAAUUUAGGUAAGAAAAGGGGAGCUUUGGGAAAGAUUGUAACAGCCUAAGGACCAUUCACCCAUCAGCCCCCGGACAGAGGGACAGGCCAUGGAAGGAGCCAGGGCAUAGAUUUGGAGAGAGUGACCUAAUUCCAGGGCUUGUGAUGUAAACUCAGCAAAGAGAAGCAAACCCAAGGUGAAAGACUUCAAACAAACCUCAUCUCCCUUCCCAUUUGUUUUACUUACACUAGAAAAAUCCCAACCACAUUUCUCUUUCAGAUUUUGUUUUUCUUUCCAAAUAAGUAAUCAUUUCUGAUUUUGCUUUCUGGAAACAGGGUCUCAUGGAGGCCAGGCGAGCUUCAGAUGCCUAUGUGGCCGAUGAUGACUUUGAAUGUCUGAUGAACUCACCUCCUGACUCCUAGGAUGACAAGCGGGCCCCACCAUGCCUGGUUGCAUGUGGUGCCAGGGAGCUCGCCCAGGGCUUUGGGGAUGCUAGAUCCCGCUGAGCUUCAUCACCAGCUCCCCAGCUAGGCUUGAGUUAGGGUGAUGUGGUUGUCAAAACCGGUUGUUCAAAAUUAUUGGUUUCUUUCUUGGUGACGGUUUACUGCUUGUCGGAGCCUUACUCCCUAAAAUCCCGUAUUGACCCUUUCGUUCCUGCUGCCUGUGUCUUCCUUUGGUUUAUUCAAUUGGCAAAUACCUACCAGUCCUUCAAACGCGGAUCAAAAUUUCCUUGAGUAGGAAACUUAACACGUCUCCCGUUUUGCAAUUAGUGUAGGGGUAGGUGAGUAGGUUUAUGAAUGAAGAUUUCUAUAUCGUGCAGGGGUGGUAUUCGGGUUUUGUGCUGGCCAUGAGUGCAAAUAUCAGAGUGCUCCAAUGCAAAGUUAAUUAAACAAAUAGAGCUUUGCUUUUCUCACAUAUAAAGGAGUGUGUAAGCAGCAAGUAUGACAUGGAUUCAGUCAGCUGGUCACAGUCCCGUUUCAUGAUCAGUACCUUGUACACGGUAGGAAACGAGGAGGGCCAUUGGUCUACACUUUGAAGAUGGGGUGAUAUGUGAUUGAAUCCACCACUCACCCACAUGAGCGCUGGAGGAGGUUGGGGGUGGCUAUCCAACGUCUUCAGUGUUGUUUUUCUUCACCUUUAGUGAACAUGCCACUCACCGGGGUACCCUGUCCAAUUGCUGCUGCUGGAGAACUAGAAACCAUACGUGAGUGUUGACCACAUAGCCUUGCACUGUCCAGCUCGGCUUCUGGAGAACUAGGGACCACAUAGCCUUGCACCAUCCAGCUUGGUAGUUACUAGCCCUAUGUAUCGCUUUACAUGUAUUUUAUUUUCCUUGCUUUUUUAUCUUGUAAUCUGAUCAACCCAUUAGAAUUUGGAAAUUUUAGCAAAAGCAACCCAAGUCCUGAGUUUGUCCGUUCGUUUAGCUCAUGUCAAAAGGGGAAAGGGGAAAUUGGUUUCAUGGCAAUAGAAGGACAGGGAGAUGGUCUUAGGAACUGCAGACUUCAGGGACUCAAAUGAUGUCACGGCCACCAUUUAUCAUCGCCUCUACCCUUCCCCAUGAUACCCCCUUCUUGACUUUCUGGGCCCUGCGUAGUUUUUACUUGUACACUGGCUUCCUCUCCGAGCAAGACAUCCGACCUCUGGAGGCUUGCAUGGCUGUCUCCCUCCUCUGGGUCUGUUCCCUCCUUCAGGGAAGAGGAAGGGAGGAGUGGGGAGGGGGGCAGAGAGGAGGGAAGAGAAAGGCUUAUAAGCCUCGGGAAACUUAAUAAGGCUCCGGAGUUGAGGUUCCCCUCCACCCACAAGUUGCACAGAGAGCUCCUCCGGUGACUCAGCUUUUGUGAGUCAUCACCCAUGCUAGGUGACAAAUAUUCCUGAGUCACCCCCACUCCUGUUAAGCGACCAUUAUUAAACUUAUUGGUUCAUCAAGCUGAACUUGGGAGGGGCCAUUCGUUGGGCUCUGUUGUUGGUGCCCUGACUUGGGUGCACGGAUAUUUGUUCAUGUCUCCCAAAGUCUCGGACUGAUUAACACACUCACCGUUGUCAUUUCUGGGGUCCCACGGCCACCCACGUGGCCAUCAGCAUUCAGACAAAAUGUCCAGUCAUCCCAGGUGCUGGCCUUUCUGGGGCUAGCCGUGCCUGCGCCAUCAACGUUCAUCCCAGGGACUUAUGGCCAUGUAAUGGAUGGGUGGUGUGAGUACAUAAGCCCCCAUACGCAUGUGAUAAGUGACCUUUAGAAGCAGAUACGCCCUACCCACUCUCUCCAUGUUUCUUCCAGACAGGCGUGUGCACACACCCUCUGCCUACUUUUUACUAAUAAAACUAUUAAGUGGGUUUUGUUGUCUCUCUUGUGGUGUGUUCGAGCACACAGUAAGUAAUACCAUCUCCACAGGAAAACGCAGCCCUUUCUACCAGAACCUGACUGGUCCAGAUUGGGCUUUGUGUGUGGCCUGGAACCUGUCUAGAUGCACUGUCUAGAUGCUCGCCCCUGCCUGGGGGAGGUGAGUCCCCAGGAUGGGCAACCCCCACCCUCAACAGAGGGCGAAGAGAAAGUCCCUUGAAGGAAGUGCCAGGCACACAAAGGGUCCAUGGUUGAGAUGGAUGGACCCAGCAGCCGGCUGAUCCACCUGCUCUCUUCGGCAGCCUCGAGAACCUUCCCUGCCCCAUCAAAUCUCUCUUCCAG